CUUCAACUACUCACAAUAUAUGCAUCCUGUCGAUCAUGUUUACGCAUCUUUGCGUCCAGUUUGGUACGUGCGUUCGGAUUCUAGCAGUGCGUUGUUUCAAUGGUUUUGGGUUUUUUGGGACACCCUGUACAGUAUACUGUGACUUUAAUUAAAAGGUAUAUGUUAGGAAGAGGAGUGGCACCAUGCAAUGGACUUUACGUCCCGGUUUGUGCCUUGCCGGUUUGAGUACGGCACUUUUUAAUAGACCUUUCCCCUUAUGAGUGAAAUUUUGAUCUAGAUAUGCCUGGACAAAAUUCAUCACAGCUUGAAUGAGCAUCACAAAAUUAGUAAUAUUCCGAAGUUUCGUUGCGAAAUGUUGUAAAAUGCAGAUAAUAUAGCCUUGCCAAGUUUGCCGUUUUUCAGUCAUUUUGCAUUACAAUCUAACAUUUUGCAUCAGUUUGAUCAUCUGAUUAUCAAUUUCCCGUUUGUAAUACCAAAUGACUGAAAAACGG